AUUGAACGCUGGCGGCAGGCCUAACACAUGCAAGUCGAACGGUAACAGGAAGCAGCUUGCUGCUUCGCUGACGAGUGGCGGACGGGUGUGUCAUGUCUGGGAAGCUGCCUGAUGGCGGGGGAUAACUACUGGAAACGGUAGCUAAUACCGCAUAAUGUCGCAAGACCAAAGAGGGGGACCUUCGGGCCUCUUGCCAUCGGAUGUGCCCAGAUGGGAUUAGCUUGUUGGUGGGGUAACGGCUCACCAAGGCGACGAUCCCUAGCUGGUCUGAGAGGAUGACCAGCCACACUGGAACUGAGACACGGUCCAGACUCCUACGGGAGGCAGCAGUGGGGAAUAUUGCACAAUGGGCGCAAGCCUGAUGCAGCCAUGCCGCGUGUAUGAAGAAGGCCUUCGGGUUGUAAAGUACUUUCAGCGGGGAGGAAGGGAGUAAAGUUAAUACCUGUGCUCAUUGACGGUACCCGCAGAAGAAGCACCGGCUAACUCCGUG
rnacentral:rRNA from 1 species